AAGGAUACAAUUUUUACGCCUUCAAGUUCAGGUUGCGGUUUCAGUUCUUAUACUCAAUCAUACACAUGACAUCAAGUCAUAUUCGACUCCAAAACACUAACCAACCUUCUUCUUGCUUCUUAAGGCUUUCAUGGUGUAGGCAAAGUCCGUAUGAGUCUUUGGCUUUGUGUCUUCUAACAAGGAUACUAUUCUUACGCCUAUAAGAUCCAGUUGCGGUUUAAGUUCUUAUACUCAAUCAUACACAUGACAUCAAGUCAUAUUCGACUCCAAAACACUAAAAAAUCUUCUUCUAGCUUCUCAAAGCUUUCAUGGUGUAGCCAAAGUCCGUAUGAUUCUUUGGCUUUGAUCUUCUAACAAGGAAACACUUCUUAGGCUUAUAAGAUCGGGUUGCGGUUUAAGUUCUUAUACUCAAUCAUACACAUGACAUCAAGUCAUAAGC
rnacentral:sRNA from 1 species